ACUCUUUCACUAACAUACACACACCUUCACUGAUACACAUACUGUCCGUGUAUGUGUAUCAGUGAAGGUGUGUGUAUGUUAGUGAAAGAGU